UUCUAAUAUGAUGAGAACCUUUUUACAGUAUUUUACAGUUAUCCCUGUCUGAAUGGGUUAACAAAAUGGUAAUAAACUCAUAUGUCGAUGAAUUAUACUCUGAAUUUAGA
rnacentral:snoRNA from 11 species